GGCAAAGCGGGGGGGCAGGGUCUGCCCUCCCCAUAUGGCUCCCGCCUCCGACACACACACACACAAAGCCCCCCGGUGGAAGAUUGGCAGGCCGGGAGAAGGGGAAAGACAACGACGACGACACGGGAAGGGAACGGAGGCGCAGCGGCGCGGCUUCUUCCGAGGCGCUCUCCUCUCCCCUCUCCCGCCCGCCCGUUUUCCUUCCUGCCGUCUUCGUUCCCUUCAGACACACUCAUACACACACACACUUCUCGUCUUUCUGUUCCUCCCGCCGGCGCGGCACUGACCUUGGCGUCUCCAUUGCAAACAGCCAUAGAGCCGGCCGGAGAAACGCAGGAGGAGGAGACUGGGUGAGAAGGAACGCGCUCCGUCAGUCCGCAGCCACCGCUGAGAAGCAACCCGGAACGAGGCAGGCAGGAAAGAAUGAAGCUGCCGCGGACGAGCCGCUGCCACUUGCUAAAUACCGCUGCUGCUGCUGCUGCUGGCUGGCCUGCCUCCGCGGCCGAGAUGAGCUAAUCCUGCCGCCCGCCCCACCAGUACGCGCCGCCCGCGAGGAGGAGCCGGAUCCCCGCGGCCCGCCUUCUUCGGGGACGGGCGGGAGAAGCAGCAGCGAGAGGCAGCGACUCGCGUAGCCCGCCUAUUGACGGCCGACUAAGGCGCCAGGAGGCCGCCGGAUGGGUUGCUGCCAAGGCGGGGUCAGAGAGGAAGGAUGGGGGGCGAGGGUAAGCGAGCAAGAGGUUCAAGGGCACAUGCCAGCCAUGCAAAGGUAUUCAAGGAGGGCCUGGGAAGAGGAUGUGUGGCUAGAGAGAGAAGUUCCGAGGCUGGACAGAAAGGCCUGGAAGGCUGCAUUUGGGCCUUAGCCCUGGCACAUAGGAUUGUAGCUAGACCUACCAGUAGAUCUCGGUCUUAUCUUCUGCUGCCCACCCCUGAGCUACACGCUGUCUUCCUGAAGUUCCAGGGGCAACUUUCAGAGAAUGCUUUAAAAUAAAAACACCUAUACUAGAGGCAGGAUAGUAGGAUUCCGUGACCAAUCAUGGACUACUAAUCUGCUCCCACUCUUACUUCCAAUAUAUACAUUUUGGCUAGAAAACUGCAUUGCAAAAUUCAGAGAAGUGCAAAUUUUGAAGGAUGGCUGUGUUUUGGUUCUAGAAUUGUUUGGGAAAGUCCAAAUUAGGUAGGUUCACUUUUACAUGCAAACUGAAUCAAAUCUCUCCCCCAUCCCUACUUCCCACCAGUCUCCUUGGAGUCUUAUCACCCCUUCCUAAGCCUCUCCUUUCCACUCCCUAAAACUUUUGAGUCUUUUGCCCAGUAGUGGCUGUUAUGAUAGGGCAGAAUGAAUGAGCUACCCUCUUGACACUGGUAUUGCUUCAGCUCACCUGGAUGGGGCUGGUGUGGACCAGGGUGGGGGUGAGGCUGGGGAUGUGCUGAUGCUGCAGUGGAGCCAAUCAGAUGCUUCCUCCAGUGUGACUGCAGAGCCCCCGCCCUUGCUGCUGCCCUAUCCUGCCCCAUCCAGGUGCAGUGACACCAGUAUCAGAAGGGCAGCUCUGUGGCUCUGCCCCACCACGGGCAGCAGCUCCCAGUUGGGUGUUCAUUCUUGCACCAUUGGAUCAUGUCCCUCUUUUGCUGGUUUUUGAAUGUAACCUAGAGGAAGGAUAGGUAACCUUUCCACCUCCUCUGAAGCUGAACUGCACAGCCCACAACCCUGCUUCCUCCUUAAACAACAGUUCAUCUGUUAAUUGUUUCUUUUAAUAUAUUAUUUCAGUAAUAUAUUAUUCAGUAAUAUAUUAUUUCCCUAUUUUUGGAAAUCAUAUCUCCAUUGCUUUCCUGAGUACCUUAUAUUUUUGCUCUGCUACCUAGUCUAAACAAUCUAAAGUUACCCAGACUUGGCUUUUUUAUCUUUUAGUUUCUGGGCGAGCUCAACCGGACAGACAGCAGCCUGUUCUCUGGCAGAAUAGAGCAAGGGUUGCAGUGGGAAAUGGUUUCUUUAGUAUACAUCUAAGCUAAAUUCUCUCUCAGUCAUUCAUAUUCUGAAAGAGCUUAUUCCCUGAACACGGAUAAGUAGUCUGCUGCAGAUGUGUUUAGAGACAUGUUAUGAAGAUGCGGAAAUGUAGUAAUGCCAGUGUCACAGAGUGCAUUUUGUAGGAUGGGACAAGACUGUAGCUCGGUGUGGAACACAUGAUUUGCAUCCUGAAGAUCCCAGCUAUAUUCCCCAGCAUCUCAUUUUAAAACGGAGGUGGGGAACCUUUUUGAUCAAAGGGCCACAUUCCCUUGUGGAGAACUUCUGGAGGCCACUUCCCAACAAUGAUUCAUCAGUGAAUCCAAAAGACCACAUACCCAUCUCAUUCAUUCACACACACAGGGAACCCUAAAGGAUUGCUUCAUCCCCUACAUACCCAACGAAUCACUGUGUACUGCUGGAGACAGAAUACGCAGAUACCAUCCUGUCAGGAAGUCUGUUCUGCAUGAUGUGGAAAUUGGACCUUUAGUGCGGUGGCACCCACCCUUUGGAACUCCUUCCCACUGCAUAUCAGACAGGCGCCUCCUGUAUUUUUUUUUCAGUGUCUGCUAAAGAUCUUUAUGUGUCUUGGAUUUGCAUUGAUUUUAUGCAUGUGCUUUUGUUGUUUUAAACUCUUUUUAUACUUAUCAUUGGUUUUUAAAUUGCUUAUAUAUAUACAGUUGAUUUUACUGUUUUUAUAUACUUAAUUGUUUUAUAUGUGCUAUUGUAAAUCAUUUUGAGUUAUGAGCAGCAAUUCAUAACUGCAAGAAACAACAACAGCCCUGGAAAACUACUGCCAGUUAGAGAGCAGUCAGUAACAGCCUGGAUGGAGUGUCAGUCUGACCCAAUAUAAAGCAGCAUCAUUCAUUCAUAUGGUACUAGAUGUUGCAGAAGGAGAGGGUGGGAACAAUCCUACAAUGUUUAGUUCCCAUCUGAGACUCAUACCCAAGCCAAAUGUCUGUCAAAGGAGGUCAUUUUCCCACAUUUUCCAAAAAAAAAAGGUCUCAUGUCUUGGAAUAUUUAUUAUUUUCCUUGGAUUGGAAGAUCUGUCAAAUUGUUUCUUAUUAUGCAUGCAGAAAUGUGUCGCAUUUUAUGAGAGGGACAGCUGCAUAACAGGACAAUCUCUCGUAAGCUGCAUGUCAAUUCUUGCUCAUGCUACAAACUAGAAAGAGAAGCCAAAAACAGAGAGAUUAGCAAAAGAAAAAUGAAAAGGGAACAAUGAAACAGGCACUUGCUUUAUAUUUGCAUUACACACACACACACACACACACACACACACACACACACAUUUUUAUGCCUAUUAUAUGAACUGAGUUUAGCACCUAGUCAAAACAUAUUUAGAAAGAUAAAUGAGGCAAACGGAUGAAUUUAAAUAAUUCCUUUCUUUUAAAAAGUAAAGCUGUUUAUGACACUAGUGUUCUGUAAUUAAUCUCCUGUCAUCCACAAGAGAUGGGUCACUAUGCAAGCUUCUUCAUUUAUUGUCUAAGAUUGACUUUGUGUUAAUGUUUACAAAGGUAUCUCUAAUGAGAAUAGCCAGGUUGCAACAUUCUCUUUCUCUCUGUCAUACUCCAUUGUGACUCCAGCCCCUUUCUUCCCAGAGCUUGGAAAAGUUACUUUUUUGAACUACAGCUCCCAUCAGCCCCAGUCAGCAUGGCCACUGGAUUGGGCUGAUGGGAGCUGUAGUUCAAAAAAGUAACUUUUCCAUGCUCUGUUUCUUCCACUGCAUUGUCAAUGCAAGAGCUGAUGAAGGUUCAGAGGAAGGGGCGAUAUGUUGCUUUACAAUAUUUUGGCAUCAGUUAAAGAUCUUAUUCUUUAUGGGAGCUUCUGGUCUGUCUCUUGAUGAAAAUUGAAAUUAUUAGCAGCUUUCCAUUGCCUUAUCUGCUUUCUUUUACACAUUAUAAUAUUAUCCAUAAGAACAGCCCUCCUAGAUCAGACCAAAGGCCCAUCUAGUCCAGCAUCCUGUUCUCACAGUGGCCAACCAGAUGCCUAUGGAAACCCCACAAGAAGGACUUAAGCACAAAAGGACUUUCCCCUCCUGUGGUUUCCAGCAACUGGUAUUGAGGCAUCUUACCUCUGAUAGUAGAGAGAGAACACUGGUGUGUGUGGGGGGGAGCCCCUUCCAGAUUGUUACUAUUUUCAGGCGGGAUUCAGUCACGUACUGACAAAUUCAGGUUGCACAAAUAAAACUGAUUUGGAGCUCUUGCGCAGCAAACCCACUUCCCCAAAAGAUCAGACCUUUUGUGAUAAGGAAAGUGAGAGGAAAAUACAGUGGAAAAUGUGGGAUAAACCUUGCUUUGAUUCAACAUUAUAUAGUCUCCCUGCAAACACAUUAAAGUGCUUAUU